CUUGCUGUCUCAUUCGCUUGCGAAUGUAGCCCUCCUAAACCAUCACCGAGUCCUCACAAACCGCCUAAACAUCCCGUCAAACCGCCUAAACCACCAGCAGCCAAACCACCAAAACCACCGGCAGUAAAACCUCCUAAACCCCCCACCAAACCUCCCACCCUUAAACCACACCCCCACCCUAAACCUCCCACUAAACCCCCCACCGUUAGACCACACCCACACCCUAAGCCCCCUACCAAACCUCAUCCCAUCCCAAAACCGCCCACCGUUAAACCACCACCCUCCACCCCCAAACCGCCCACAAAACCACCCACCGUUAAACCGCCUCCAUCCACCCCUAAGCCGCCCACCAAACCACCCACCGUCAAACCACCACCCUCCACCCCAAAACCGCCCACCAAGCCACCCACCGUCAAACCACCUCCGUCCACCCCUAAACCACCUACCCACAAGCCACCAAUAGUGUGCCCACCGCCAACACCAACACCAACCCCACCUGUUGUAACGCCACCAACACCACCAACACCAACUCCACCAGUCGUUACGCCACCAACACCAGCUCCACCUGUUGUAACGCCACCAACACCAACACCACCGGUCGUAACGCCACCGACACCAACCCCUCCUGUCGUAACACCACCAACACCACCGGUCGUAACGCCACCGACACCAACCCCUCCUGUCGUAACACCACCAACACCACCGGUCGUAACGCCACCGACACCAACCCCUCCUGUCGUAACACCUCCAACACCACCGGUCGUAACGCCACCGACACCAACCCCUCCUGUCGUAAUACCUCCAACACCACCGGUCGUAACGCCACCGACACCAACCCCUCCUGUCGUAACACCACCAACACCAACUCCACCUAAGCCAGAAACAUGCCCAAUCGACACGUUGAAGCUAGGCGCUUGUGUAGACGUUCUUGGAGGUUUGAUUCACAUCGGGCUUGGUGGAAGUAGCGCCAAGAAAGAGAGUUGUCCGGUUUUGGGAGGCUUAG
rnacentral:lncRNA from 1 species